GGCAGUGGUAGCUCAGUGAUUAAAGAAUUGGACUACUGAUUGGAAGGUAGUGUGUUCAAAUUCCCACUAUUGCCA